rnacentral:rRNA from 1 species
GACAGAGGGUGCAAACGUUGUUCGGAAUUACUGGGCGUAAAGCGCGUGUAGGCUGCCUCGAAAGUCAGGUGUGAAAGCCCUGGGCUCAACCCAGGAAGUGCACUUGAAACUUCGAGGCUCGAGUUCUGGAGAGGAUGGCGGAAUUCUCGGUGUAGAGGUGAAAUUCGUAGAUAUCGAGAGGAACACCGGUGGCGAAGGCGGCUAUCUGGACAGUGACUGACGCUGAGACGCGAAAGCGUGGGGAGCAAACAGGAUUAGAUACCCUGGUAGUCCACGCCGUAAACGAUGGGUGCUAGGUGUCGCGGGCUUUGACCCCUGCGGUGCCGUAGCUAACGCAUUAAGCACCCCGCCUGGGGAGUACGGCCGCAAGGCUAAA